GAUGAACGCUGGCGGCGUGCCUAACACAUGCAAGUCGAACGGAGUCCAGCCUUUAAGACCUUCGGGUCAAAGAGGGGAAGCCUGAGUGGCGGACGGGUGAGUAACACGUGGGCAACCUGGCUCAUAGAGGGGGAUAACAGAGAGAAAUUUCUGCUAAUACCGCCUAAGCACACACUGCCGCAUGGCAGAGGGUGACAGGAGAAUCGCGAUGGGAUGGACUCGCGUCUGAUUAGCCAGUUGGCAGGGUAAGAGCCUACCAAAGCGACGACCGGUAGCCGGUCUGAGAGGAGGAGCGGCCACAUUGGGACUGAGACACGGCCCAAACUCCUGCGGGAGGCAGCAGUGGGGGAUAUUGCACAACGGGGGGAACCCUGAUGCAGCGACGCCGCGUGAGUGAAGAAGUAUUUCGGUAUGUAAAGCACUAUCAGCAGGGAAGAUAAUGACAGUACCUGAAGAAGAAGCCCCGGCUAACUACGUG
rnacentral:rRNA from 1 species